UAUGACCUACAGCCACGACGACAUGGACACUGCCGCCUCGAGUACGCUGUCGACCAGUCUCGAGAUCAACAACAAAUCAACAUCAACAGCAAACGCACUGAUUUUGAACGAUAUUGAUGGAGCAGGAGCACGAUGUCGCCAACGACGUCAUAACAACUACAAACCCAGCUGACGAUUGACGAAUGAGGCAUUGAAGUUGGUGCCAUUUGAGCGAUUAUCGAGUAUAAACUAAAACACACCACCGUCACCACACUACAGAAGACACCGCCUGGCAAGUUGGUAUUACUACAUCGUGUGUGUGUGCGCGCCUAUGUGUAUAUGACGGUUUGCGUCGUUGGUGUGACAGCGCACUACAGAGAAUGAGCAGAAAAUUAUGCAUAACUAUAGAUGAGAGAUGUUGUAGCUAAUAUAAAAAAUAAUAAUUGUAAUAAUAA